rnacentral:misc_RNA from 1 species
GAUGAAGAACGCAGCGAAAUGCGAUAAGUAAUGUGAAUUGCAGAAUUCAUUGAAUCAUCGAAUCUUUGAACGCACAUUGCGCCCGUCAGUAUUCUGGCGGGCAUGCCUGUUCGAGCGUCAUUACGCCCCUCAAGUCCCCUGUGGACUUGGUGUUGGGGAUCGGCGAGGCUGGUUUUCCAGCACAGCCGUCCCUUAAAUUAAUUGGCGGUCUCGCCGUGGCCCUCCUCUGCGCAGUAGUAAAACACUCGCAACAGGAGCCCGGCGCGGUCCACUGCCGUAAAACCCCCCAACUUUUUAUAGUUAACCUCGAAUCAGGUAGGACUACCCGCUGAACUUAAGCAUAUCAAUAAGCGGAGGA